rnacentral:rRNA from 1 species
GACAGAGGGUGCAAACGUUGCUCGGAAUUACUGGGCGUAAAGCGCGUGUAGGCGGUUCCGCAAGUCAGGUGUGAAAGCCCAGGGCUCAACCCUGGAAGUGCACUUGAUACUACGGAGCUUGAGUACUGAAGAGGAGAGCGGAAUUCCCGGUGUAGAGGUGAAAUUCGUAGAUAUCGGGAGGAACACCAGUGGCGAAGGCGGCUCUCUGGGCAGAUACUGACGCUGAGGAGCGAAAGCGUGGGGAGCGAACAGG